UGUUUUAGCACAUACAGUAUAGUAAAAUUAGAAUGAUACAGAGAAGAUUCACAUGGUCCCUGUGCAAGGCUGAAAUGCUUAUUCGUGAAGCUUUCCAUAUUUUU